rnacentral:tRNA from 1 species
GCGGAUGUGGUGAAAUUGGUAGACACGCUAGACUUAGGAUCUAGUGCUGAGAGGUGUGUGGGUUCGAGUCCCUCCAUCCGCACCA